rnacentral:tRNA from 1 species
GGUAGUGGCUCAGAGGUAGAGUGUUUGCCUAGAACGUUGGAGGCCCUGGGUUCAAUCCUCAGCACCA